GCUGGGCGAGGUGGCUCACGCCUGUAAUCCUAGCACUCUGGGAGGCCGAGGCGGGUGGAUCGCUCAAGGUCAGGAGUUCGAGACCAGCCUGAGCAAGAGCGAGACCCCGUCUCUACUAAAAAUAGAAAGAAAUUAUCUGGCCAACUAAAAAUAUCUAUAGAAAAAAUUAGCUGGGCAUGGUGGCGCAUGCCUGUAGUCCCAGCUACUCUGGGAGGCCGAGGCGGGUGGAUCGCUCAAGGUCAGGAGUUCGAGACCAGCCUGAGCAAGAGCGAGACCCCGUCUCU
rnacentral:sRNA from 1 species